AUUGAACGCUGGCGGCAGGCCUAACACAUGCAAGUCGAGCGGAGCGGCGGACGGGUGCGUAAUGCCUAGGAAUCUGCCUGUUCGUGGGGGAUAACGUCCGGAAACGGGCGCUAAUACCGCAUCCUAUCGCAUUCACCUGUGUCGGAUUGGCUAGUGGGGGGGGGAAAGGCCUACAACGGCGACGAUCCGUAACUGGUCUGAGAGGAUGAUCAGUCACACUGGAACUGAGACACGGUCCAGACUCCUACGGGAGGCAGCAGUGGGGAAUAUUGGACAAUGGGCGAAAGCCUGAUCCAGCCAUGCCGCGUGUGUGAAGAAGGUCUUCGGAUUGUAAAGCACUUUCAGUUGGGAGGCGUUACCAACAGAAUAAGCACCGGCUAACUCCGUGCCAGCAGCCGCGGUAAUAC
rnacentral:rRNA from 1 species